CUGCUCACUUCAGCAGCACGUGUACUAAAAUUGGAACGAUACAGAGAAGAUUAGCAUGGUUGUACAUACUUUCUAUUUUGCAAAUUUCCUAAUAUCU
rnacentral:snRNA from 1 species